AAAAACUCCGGUGGUAUAAGAUGGAUCCGCGCCUGAUUAGCUAGUUGGCGGGGCAGCGGCCCACCAAGGCGACGAUCAGUAGCCGGCCUGAGAGGGCGACCGGCCACAUUGGGACUGAGACACGGCCCAAACUCCUACGGGAGGCAGCAGUGGGGAAUAUUGCACAAUGGGGGGAACCCUGAUGCAGCGACGCCGCGUGAGUGAAGAAGUAUUUCGGUAUGUAAAGCUCUAUCAGCAGGGAAGAAGAUGACGGUACCUGACUAAGAAGCCCCGGCUAACUACGUGCCAGCAGCCGCGGUAAUACGUAGGGGGCAAGCGUUAUCCGGAUUUACUGGGUGUAAAGGGAGCGUAGACGGCAGGGCAAGUCUGGAGUGAAAGCCCGGGGCCCAACCCCGGGACUGCUUUGGAAACUGCCAUGCUGGAGUGCUGGAGAGGUAAGCGGAAUUCCUAGUGUAGCGGUGAAAUGCGUAGAUAUUAGGAGGAACACCAGUGGCGAAGGCGGCUUACUGGACAGUAACUGACGUUGAGGCUCGAAAGCGUGGGGAGCAAACAGGAUUAGAUACCCUGGUAGUCCACGCCGUAAA
rnacentral:rRNA from 1 species